rnacentral:rRNA from 1 species
AUGUUAUUAGGGUUGAUGGAGUUGCAACUGACCCAAUCAAAAAUUCAGGCAGUACAACAAUGGCCAAAACCUGAAAAUGUCACUCAGCUCAGGAGUUUUUUAGGGUUGACUGGUUACUAUAGAAGAUUUGUGAAAAAUUAUGGACUCAUUUGCAGGCCUCUGUUUAACUCCCUGAAAAAGGACAGUUUCACUUGGGGGAAAGAGCAAGUUCAAGCUUUCAAUACCCUGAAGAACAAAAUGACACAAGCCCCAGUGUUGGCCCUACCAAACUUCUCAAAGCCCUUCAUCUUGGAAACAGAUGCUUGUGCCUAUGGACUAGGUGCAGUUCUAAUGCAAGAGGGGAGACCUAUUUCCUUUUUCAGUAAAGCAAUUGGUCCUAGAGCAGCUGCAUAUUCCACUUAUGACAAGGAAGCUUUAGCAAUUAUUGAAGCUCUCAAGCACUGGAAACAUUAUUUUGUUGCAUCCUCCAUCAUCAUCAGAACUGAUCAACAGAGUUUAAAAUACAUUCAAGAACAAAAACUCACUGAGGGAAUUCAGCACAAGCUCCUGGUCAAACUUCUUGGCUACAAUUACACUGUGGAGUACAAGCAGGGAAAGAAAAAUAAAGUGGUUGGUGCCCUUUCCAGGGUGCACCACAACAUUCAUGCACUAAUUGCUUCUUCAGUCAAACCUGCCUGGGUAACUGAAGUUGUUGACAGCUACAAAAAUGACCAAAGAUCCAAGGAUCUACUAGCCCAACUGAUUGUCAACCCUGAUUCUGUGACCAACUACACUGUGCAACAGGGUGUGCUCAGAUACAAAAACAGAAUUGUCAUUGGAGCUGAUAACACCAUCAGAGCUAAAUUGCUAGCUGCUUUACAUAGCUCUGAAUUGGGUGGCCAUUCAGGACACAGAGCUACAUACCAAAGAGUUAAGCUUCUCUUCCACUGGCCUGGCACGAAGCAAUUUGUUGUGGACUAUAUUAAACAAUGCCCUACCUGUAAAAUAAACAAAGCAGAACACUGCAAGUACCCUGGGCUACUCCAACCUCUGCCAGUCCCAGACUUUGCCUGGUGCCACAUAAGCAUGGAUUUUGUGGAAGGUCUCCCUACUUCUCACAACAAGAACAUCAUCUUGGUUGUGAUCGACAGAUUCACUAAAUACAGCCACUUUAUCCCAAUGAAACACCCCAUUACAGCUAAUAAUGUAGCCAAGGCUUUCACUGACAACAUCUUCAAACUCCAUGGACUACCAGCUGUGAUUGUCACUGACAGAGACAAAAUCUUCACCAGCAAGCUCUGGCAGGACUUGUUCAAGAAGUUGGGAAUCAAAUUACACAUGAGCACUUCUUAUCACCCCUAG